AGGCUUCAUUUUGAGCCCAGACUGAACAGUAAUGGAUGCUAGUAAGAAUCACUUGUGAUGUAGCACUGGUUUCUGAAGCCAGAGUGAGGGUAUGCAUGAGAGUUAUGGCUGUGAUACUCUUUAACGUGGGGUUCUCUAGACUGCCUAAAAGUCAGCAUCAGAGGUAUAGCUAACAAAACUUUACACUGAGGCUGAGCUGUACAUGGCCUAAAUAUAUUUCUGCCUCCUCAGAAAGAAUAAUGAGCCUGUACGGAGUCUUUAGAGAGUCUAAGUUUCAGCAAUCAUGGUAUUUAUAUGCCUGUACAAAACAGGAGUAACAACACCAGGACUUAUAUUGAAGAGCACAGAAUCUCUUCUACUACAAUGCAUGUUGAUUGGCAUGCAAAUUUGAUGUUUUUUGCAAAAUGCUAAUUUUUAUUUUCUUUUGAGAAGGAAAAAUGUAUGAUUAAACAAAUUUAUUGAGUUUAAUAU
rnacentral:lncRNA from 7 species